GACCCCAUGGAGCUUUAAACCCAACGACACCCAUUUUCUUUAUACCCUAGUAUUCAUUUGGCUAUGUUUGAUUGGUUUUAGGUUGGGGUGACCACGGAGCAUAAAAUAACCUCCACGAAGAAGAGACUAAUAAUCUUUAUCAAAGAAGUACACUUCUAAGAAUUAACAAAUUAAUUUCCAAUGAUCCGAUAUUCGAUCAACGAACCAAGUUACCCUGGGGAUAACAGCGCAAUCCACCUCAAGAGCUCCUAUCGACAGGUGGGUUUACGACCUCGAUGUUGGAUCAGGAUAUCCCAGUGGUGUAGCAGCUACUAAAGGUUCGUUUGUUCAACGAUUAAAAUCCU
rnacentral:rRNA from 1 species